UUUACUAUAUCAAGGUUUGAAAUUCUGCAUAAUUAGGGGCGUGGAUACUUGAGUGACAGGUGACGCCGCUGUUUGGUAGCCGCUCGGUGGUAGCUAGCCGCUAGCAGCACUAGCUGUCACCUGAGCUAAUCCCCGGUCAGUGAAUGGGACUUCUCGACCACGGUGUCGGAGUCUUGCGGAGAACAUUUCAAGCUACUACCAGAUGGAAAAUACGCCUGCUCUGCGGUCAGUCGUCCCAACAGAGAAGUCCAAGAAGCUGGCGCUCCUGUUGUUUCGGGAAGGACCUGCGUGAAGGACUCCACUGUGCUGACCAUGUUCUGUCUCCAAGAGCAAAGAAGAAAAAUUAGUUGUCGUCACCACAGUGGAUGAUGAGGACGUCAGCUGUUGCUCUUCCUCACGGAGUGGAAACAGAGUGGAAGAAGACUUUUCCAGUGAUAAAUGCUCCAGAUAAAUGCUACAUCUGUAGGAUAAAAUGGAACUAUAGAGCUAAAUCUCAGAAUAUAGAUGAGUAUCUAAUACUUUAUAUGUAGACAGACUAUAUAACUGUAAAGUCAAGCAGCCACGACUGGUACUGGUUUGUUUUGUGCAGCUAGUGGAAGCAUCACAGGUGAACUCAACAACAACCAAUGUGCUGAAAGUAAUAAACAUCU